rnacentral:rRNA from 1 species
UACGUAGGGGGCAAGCGUUGUCCGGAUUUAUUGGGCGUAAAGAGCGUGUAGGCGGCCUGAAAGGUCAGCUGUGAAAACUCGAGGCUUAACCUCGAGACGUCGGUUGAAACCAUCUGGCUAGAGUCCGGAAGAGGAGUGUGGAAUUCCCGGUGUAGCGGUGAAAUGCGCAGAUAUCGGGAAGAACACCCGUGGCGAAGGCGGCACUCUGGGACGGUACU